GUCAAGUCAUCAUGGCCCUUAUGUCCAGGGCUACACACGUGCUACAAUGGAGGGUACAACGUGACGCAAAACCGCGAGGUCAGAGCGAAACACGAAAAGCCUUCCGUAGUUCGGAUUGAAGUCUGAAACCCGACUUCAUGAAGGUGGAAUCGCUAGUAAUCGCGCAUCAGCAUGGCGCGGUGAAUACGUUCCCGGGCCUU
rnacentral:rRNA from 1 species